UGCUAACUCACAACCCCCGCUCACCAGAACCACGAUCGGUUUCCCAAAACCGAUUACUGAAUAAGUCGGAAGUCCCGAAAACCGCACCGGAACUUCAUCGUCGCUCACCCGUCGUUUCCGAACCCUCAAAACGAUACGGGUGACCGGCCAACAAGGCUCAGCGACGCUACAAUCAGCCACGAGGCACUGUCGGAUGAAUUCCGAACCGAAACCACGUUCUAUCGGCGGAUUUCGCCGAAAACGCUCCGAAAAUCACUUUUCGAU
rnacentral:lncRNA from 1 species